CUGGCCAACCGCUCGCCCCGCCGCCGCCCCUUCACGCCUCGCCGCUCGCCCCGCCUCUCCAACCUCCCUCCCCAAACGCAUCUCCCACAACCUCCAGUCGCCGCACACCCCGACGCCCACCUCUCCAACCUCCCUCCCCGCACGUUGCGCUCCAUCCCCGUCUGCCCAUCAUCGAACCAACCUCCAACCCAUGCUACCGGCACCGCACGGCGCACGUCCAGUACGCCGCCCCUCCCGGACUGCACGGCACGGCGCACGGCGGUGCGAAUCUGGAUCUACAGAUGCGGUUGCCACCCAUCCCGUUCCAGUUCCUUGCGCCAACCGAGAGGGAGGGAGGGAAGGGAGGAGCACGGAGAUGAUGCAGACUGUGGAAGAGUGGCCGCCAAGUACCAUGAGAUGGCCAUGGUGACCUGCAAGAUGAUACUGAAGAUUUAAGUGAAGUGGCUCAACUGAAUCAAGGGGACAUAGUGGUUUAUGAUGUCGAACAGAGGUGUAGCACCGCUGCAGGUGCUUCAUUCUAGGUGUUGCGCAAACACCAUGAGUCCAGGAGGCUGUACAAACGAAUUUUGACUCGACGAUGCAGCCGCUGCGAGUCCCUUCGCUGAGAUUCAGAUUUUUUUUCUUUCCCAUUUCAGUGUGUUUGGAUUGGAUGUGGAAGAAUAUACCAGAUGGGAAGAUACUAUGCUUUUAUGAAAUUGUGGUUCUACUGGGUGAAAUUCUUGUUAUAAAGUGGUGGUCUUGCUACUGAAAUAUGGCCUGAGGAUCGAGGAUGUACUUGUUAUUGCGGACGAAUUCCUGCUGUAGAUUUGCAUGUCGAUGGUUGCAAGCAAAGAGGAUUGGGCCCGAAGAAAUGCUGAUAUUGAGCCUGGACCGCAAGGCGAUAUGUCGAGCUCUGCGUAGCCUGGUUUCAAUGGCUUAUUUAAACAGGUGUCUCCUUUUCCUUUGUAUGUGUUUUCGAGUCUCUUUAUGUGUAAAAAUAGCCUGUAGAUAUCCUGCAGUGUGAUUUUAUUUUUCGAGUUCAGCUCUGUGUUAUCAUAGAAUUCAGGUUAGGGAGAUCAAGAAGAUGUUUCAUAUGUUAGCACAACUACUGGAGGAUUUGCAGAGUGUACAUUGCUUCCAGUGUAACAAGAACAGAAAAUAAGUCAUGAAUUUGUAGCAAGUGACGCCCUUGGCAUUCUUUUUGAAAGAUAUCCAAGAGAGUUAAAGCAUCAUGGGGACAAGGAGGCCGAGCAGUUCGUUGUGUCUCCGUCGUCGCCAGCCACACUGGUAUGUUGUGCCCCUUUCCCUGCUCCACGUCCUAGGCUACUCCACCACCACCGGAUACGAGUGUGGCCGUGGCAGAGGAGGCUCGUGCAGGGGGAUUUGAUGCAUAUAAAGGUUAUGUUUGUUAUUUUUCACACACACACACACACACACACACACAGGUGUUCCACGGUUAAUUUUGUUGUGGGGAAAAAUUGAGGACUAAAGGUUUUGGUAUGUCUGAUUGUUGACAUGCCAUCGGAAGUGCAUGAUUGUCUGAUAGACUUGAAUUCUUAGGUUUUCUUUCUUAUUGGUCUUGUUUUUUUUUUUUUGGUGAAAACCCAUGAUUUUACCCUAACCCAAAAUUUCUGAGUUAAACGGAGAGGCUCUAUGAGAAGUUUUGGGACAUGGAAGAAAUUGAUUGUUCUAAUUUAAGUAAUACAAAAAGAAAAUAGUAUUUUCUCAAUAUUUUUUAUUAGUAACAUAUGUCUAUAAUAUUAUGAUUUACCUCUGCUAAUAGAUGUCGUCGUUGCAAAGAAACAUGCCCAAAUUUGUAAGCCCGUAUUGGUAUUACUUUCCAGUAAUCAACAUCCAACAGAAUAUAUAUUUAUGAUUGCUCUAUUAUCUUGCCAUGAAUGACAAUGAUAAAUUUGUUGUUGACUCAUGUUAUAUCCUCACAAAUAAAGUGCUACAGGGAACUUUCUCUAUCAGUUAAGGCUGGAUGAGCAAGACGACAUACUGCAGACCGAGAACAAGAGUUAUGUUCAUCAUCACUUCAUCAGUGAUAUGUGUUAAUACUCUCCUAGAGAUUGAUUUCUUUGUGAUCGCAAAAAAAGGGGUCACAUACAUGGCGUGCUUCCAAAUAUCAGGUUGCAAAUACCUUGUUUGCUUUGGACCUUGCCAUAGAAGGAUGAACACUAAAUGACCACAAAUGCCUCUAGAUUAUGAGUAAGCGUGGUUCUACCUUCAGUGGUUUGCGCAUCUGCUUUGUCUCUCAGGCUGGUUUCACGAGUACCUGAUUUUGCUUGGAACAGCCACAGGUGCAUCAGCUUGGUUUGCUAACUAGCAAUGUUUUGUUUCUUAGGUGGACAAACUUGUAUCUCAGAACCUUGAUGAAUUAUUUCAUUUGAUCAGCUUAUGUGGAAACUACUAAUUUUCAUUGCCUCUGUACACACACUUGCAUAUCUUUUUUCCUGGUGCUUAUUGGCAAUGGCCCACUCAUAGGCACGACCUAGAAGAAAAUAAGAUUGAAGAUGUAUUUUUCUUGGUUGGAAAUAUUACACCUCAAAUUUACUUCAGUUUGGAUACA